rnacentral:rRNA from 1 species
GGCGGGACACGUGGUAUCCUGUCUGAAUAUGGGGGGACCAUCCUCCAAGGCUAAAUACUCCUGACUGACCGAUAGUGAACCAGUACCGUGAGGGAAAGGCGAAAAGAACCCCGGCGAGGGGAGUGAAAAAGAACCUGAAACCGUGUACGUACAAGCAGUGGGAGCCUCUUUAUGGGGUGACUGCGUACCUUUUGUAUAAUGGGUCAGCGACUUAUAUUCUGUAGCAAGGUUAACCGUAUAGGGGAGCCGAAGGGAAACCGAGUCUUAACUGGGCGUUAAGUUGCAGGGUAUAGACCCGAAACCCGGUGAUCUAGCCAUGGGCAGGUUGAAGGUUGGGUAACACUAACUGGAGGACCGAACCGACUAAUGUUGAAAAAUUAGCGGAUGACCUGUGGCUGGGGGUGAAAGGCCAAUCAAACCGGGAGAUAGCUGGUUCUCCCCGAAAGCUAUUUAGGUAGCGCCUCGUGAACUCAUCUUCGGGGGUAGAGC